GGUGGUUGUAGCUCAGUUGGUUAGAGCGCUGGAUUGUGGUCCCAGAGGUCGUGGGUUCAAGCCCCAUCUACCACCC
rnacentral:tRNA from 1 species